UACGUAGGGUGCAAGCGUUAAUCGGAAUUACUGGCGUAAAGCGUGCGCAGGCGGUUUUGUAAGUCUGACGUGAAAUCCCCGGGCUCAACCUGGGAAAUUCGCGUUGGAGACUGCAAGGCUAGAAUCUGGCAGAGGGGGGUAGAAUUCCACGUGUGAGCAGUGAAAUGCGUAGAGAUAGUGGGAGGAACACCGAUGGCGAAGGCAGCCCCCUGGGUCAAGAUUGACGCUCAUGGCACGAAAGCGUGGGGAGCAAACAGG
rnacentral:rRNA from 1 species